rnacentral:rRNA from 1 species
GACGAACGCUGGCGGCGUGCCUAAUACAUGCAAGUUGAGCGCUGAAGGUUGGUACUUGUACCAACUGGAUGAGCAGCGAACGGGUGAGUAACGCGUGGGGAAUCUGCCUUUGAGCGGGGGACAACAUUUGGAAACGAAUGCUAAUACCGCAUAAAAACUUUAAACACAAGUUUUAAGUUUGAAAGAUGCAAUUGCAUCACUCAAAGAUGAUCCCGCGUUGUAUUAGCUAGUUGGUGAGGUAAAGGCUCACCAAGGCGAUGAUACAUAGCCGACCUGAGAGGGUGAUCGGCCACAUUGGGACUGAGACACGGCCCAAACGCCUACGGGAGGCAGCAGUAGGGAAUCUUCGGCAAUGGACGAAAGUCUGACCGAGCAACGCCGCGUGAGAGAAGAAGGUUUUCGGAUCGUAAAACUCGGUUGGUAGAGAAGAACGUUGGUGAGAGUGGAAAGCUCAUCAAGUGACGGUAACUACCCAGAAAGGGACGGCUAACUACGUG